GUGAUGAAGGCAGUUUUGUUUUUCUUUCUCUCUCUCUCUCUCUCUCUCUCUCUUUUUUUUUGAGAGAGAAAGAGAGAGAGAGAGAGAGAGAGAGAGAAUUUUUUUAUAUUU
rnacentral:miRNA from 1 species